rnacentral:misc_RNA from 1 species
UCAAACUUGGUCAUUUAGAGGAAGUAAAAGUCGUAACAAGGUUUCCGUAGGUGAACCUGCGGAAGGAUCAUUACCGAAAAACAACGCCCCCGGGCGGCGCCGCGAUCUCCCGCACUCGCGUGUGGUUGGCGCGCGUCCUCGGGGACGGACCCCUGUGAACGCGUUUCCGUCUUUGGUGCCUCCUCACCCGAGCCAGCUCGGGUGGGAGCCCAAUCUUUUUCCAUUUACCCCAUCUCUUCUGAAUGCUGACUGAAGUAAAGUCGAGGUCUCCUCUCGCUAGCGCGAGAAAGGCUUUCGGCGUGGUCAAAGCAACGGCCCCCGCGGUCGGGCUUGACGACAAAAACACGUGACAACUUUUAACAACGGAUAUCUUGGUUCACGCAUCGAUGAAGAACGCAGC